rnacentral:tRNA from 2 species
GCGCCCUUAGCUCAGUGGAUAGAGCAUCGGUUUUCUAAACCGAGGGUCCGAGGUUCGAGUCCUCGAGGGCGCGCCA